rnacentral:rRNA from 1 species
UACGUAGGGUCCGGAGCGUUGUCCGGAAUUAUUGGGCGUAAAGGGCUCGUAGGCGGUUCGUCACGUCGGGAGUGAAAACUCGGGGCUUAACCCCGAGCCUGCUUCCGAUACGGGCAGACUAGAGGUAGGCAGGGGAGAGCGGAACUCCUGGUGUAGCGGUGGAAUGCGCAGAUAUCAGGAAGAACACCGGUGGCGAAGGCGGGUCUCUGGGCCGAUACUGACGCUGAGGAGCGAAAGCGUGGGGAGCGAACAGG